UUUGGAUCCAAGGAGGCAAUGUACUAAGGACAAUUCCUCUUCCAGUGCCCCUUCUUCUUGUAAUAGAAGCAUUCCACCUGACUCUGAUCGGACUUGAGUUUCUUGGUCUGACUGGGUUUGAGUGCCCCAGCACUUUGCACCUUUUUUUUAUUCUUCUUUCCUUUCUUAAAGGAUCGACAUCCAGAAGAAAACCCUCUCACAACAUUCACCGACUCCUUUUGGAGCUGGUGAUCCUUCUCAAAGUUUUGCAGUAACCCCAGC
rnacentral:lncRNA from 1 species